GCUCCUUUGGGGACAUCCAAUCAAAUUAGAACCACACAGAGAAGAUUUGCAUGACCCCUGCACAAGAAGAAUCAUCAUCCUUCAGGAUCAAUGUUGUA